GAAGCAGCUGGCAGGACAGGACCUUUCCCUCUGGCUGUCUUUCCCCCAGCACCUCCGAGCAGAGAGGGCUGCAUUGUCCCCAGAGCCGGGAGGGUGUUUGCGUGUCGGCGUGCCACCAGGCGCCGGCUGCCACAAAAUUCCUGCAAGAAGGGAGCUUUGAACCACGUGGAGUUGAAGAAUAGCUGUGUGAGCAGAGAAUGGGCAGGGAGAACCCUGUUUGUUUCUUAAAUUAACUAAACUAAACUAAAAUGAAAUGUGGAUUUUUACAUCUUUUUGAACAAUCGGGAAGGAUUUCAGAAGAAAGCAGCCACAGGUUUCUGCAUGUCAUGUUGAAGCCCUGGGGUAUCACAGAUCGGUGCCACAGGGAUAUUUUUUAAUGAUGCACUUUGAAACCUUUUAUCUGUUUGGUGCUAUUAAACUCCUUAAUGCCGA